UCGAGGAUGGUUUCGUUUUCUGGGGAUGUAACUUCUCUCACAUGGGCUUUCGAUCGCUAGGCUGAGGGCCUUCAGGUGAUUUAAAGGGAUAGUUCAACCAAAAAGGGAAAAUUCUGUCAUCAUUUACUCACCCUGAGAUUGUUCCAAACCUGUAUGAAUUUCUCUGUUCUUUUGAACACAAAGGAAGAUAUUUGGAAGAAUGUCAGUAACCAAACAGAUCUCAUCCACAAUCUAUUGCCAUAGUAGGUAAAAUAAAUACAUUCGGAGUCAAUAGAGGAGGAGAUCUGUGUUUUGAUCUUUAUGCUAAAUAAGCAACUCAUUCACUCCACAUGGAUGAACACGUCAUGAGAGAUUGUGAAAUACACAAUCCUGUUUAUCCUGAAUUGUUUCCUAUUACUGGUUUUGCCUAAUUGUCAUAAAAGUUCAGUCACAACAACCACAUUUCAACAGUCCUUGAACCAUUACAAAUGUAAAUAAUAUAUAAAUGUGAAAAACACUCAUGGCAGAGCCAUAAGUAGACGGUGGCCGCUUUACUCACAGAAAUGAACAAAAAUAACAUUGUCUGACAGCUUUGAGUAGGUACAUCUUGUGACAACAUUUCUCAAGCUUAAGGGACAUGAAGCCAACUGAAGAUCUCAGCAGGCCAGCAUCACGUUCAAAGAGCAGUUAUCUCUUUAACAUGUGGUAAGCAGACACUUAGCUGUCAUGUGGUCUGACAGUAAUCCCUUAUAAGAGCUACUGAGUGUGUGCGCGUGUGCAUUCGGCAGCUACACGUGUCAAACGUUAAAAACUCACACUGGGUGUGUUUAUGUUCAACGACAGGCGAACUUGCACACGCUCUGCAGUUUCCAGGACUCUGGGAAUGGAAUAGUAUUAAACCUUCUCUUAUCGCCACAUGACCACCACAUGGGGAUUUGAACCUGCAGCCCGAUUAGCUGUACCACACACCCUUCACCCGCACAGGUUUUAAUCAACGUAGAAAAUCCUUUUCAAUGUGUAACUGGGACGUUCCUUGCUUAAAGGCACAAUAGUUGCAUCUGGUGACCGACCGGCAACCUUCCAGUGAUCUGAAUUAAUGUUUUACAACCUGAAAUAUAUAAUCAUAUCGCUUGUUGCUCCCUAACUCUUUGUAAGUCGCUUCAGAUAAAAGCGUCUGCUAAAUGACUCAAUGUAAAUGUAAUGAAAGAUUUACCACUAAAAAGAUCUGGUCUCUAUCACGAAACCUUGGUUUAAACAUUAUUUUCUUAAAAAUACUCGCAUCAACAGUUAAAAACAAGGUAUGGCAUGUUUAAAGUCAACUUUACAGGUGUCGGGAAUGAAAGACUGAUGGGAAGCUAAACGAGGAAACGAGAGGGGCGGGGCCAAAGACGAGACCGGAUGGAGCCUUUGUUAUGUCAAAACCAACAAUAACAUGUCUCUCUCCACACAAAACACGAGGCUCUGCCAUGAUCCUGCCACUAGACCAAGAAUUACAUGACAUGAUGAGUUACCUGUCUGUCCAGGCUCAAAAAGUACUCAUCUUAUACAAACAAACAUCUCAAUAGCAUUUUCUGUUCGAUACUCACUGUUAACCCUGUUAUUGAUGUAAAGUUCAGCAGUGUUUACCUGAAACUGCCUUGUCAAUUUUUCUGCACCUGGAAUCAAAGGCUAAAACCAUCCGGAGAGCAAUUCAGCGCAGCGGGAAACAAUGCGAGGAUUGAAACGGUCUAUUUCAGACUACAGGUCUGCGUUAUGUCAAAUGGCUUUCUGACAUGGGUUCCGUCAAGGCUGCUAGGAAACAACAGUGGCGGAAACAGUUUGAGCGCAUGACAAAAUUGCGACAAAUGACACUGUCAUUGUGAGAUCUAAGGUGGUGUUUACCUCAUGUGCCUUAAGUUUGGCUGAACAUUGAUGCCGUAAUAUAAACCUGACAUUUCUGAAGUAGAAUGGUUGAGAUCAAGUGUUCCACCUGUUCUGUCAACAAAACAACAUGCAAAUUGCAUCACCACCUGAAACCUUCGAAACCAUUGUAACGCACACAAUUUUGCUCUUUUCUUUUACCCGUCAAUGCCUUCUUUACGCGAGCUAGCGGAAAAGUGGUGGAAAAUUGCGAAAUGCAAAUGGAAUGAACGGGACAGAUUGAAUUUCAGAUUGAACUGCUGUUUCAACGGUUGGUUAGAGCACCGCUCUUUGGCGAAGGCCAGAAGCCUGCGAUGGGAAUAUAUUCUUUUGAACGCCAGAUGCUAUAUCUUAACUCAUUGCUCCACGUCCGGGAGAACGAUUUACAGCAGUUGAUCUCAGAUUUCAUUCUCGCUGGGUUGCGCAGCGGGUUAAAGAGUUUUUAGGCGCGCCCAAAUGAACAAAACGACCCUUUGGUGUGACCUAAUAAUUGGGUUUAAUAGCACACGCCGUAAAAACACAAACAGCGCUGUGAGCUACUUUGAGAUUGCGCAUUUUAGACAUCUGCUAGUAACCAAUUUGUGGGGGGAAAAGUUCAUCUUUGUUAUUACCUAAAAAGGAAGCAAUAUUUCAUUUUGAUUCAACUCUAUUUUCGAGACAUUGGUUGCAUAUUUAAUGCACGUCCUCAUCCUGAAAGAGGGGAAUAGCUAAUCAGGAUAUGAAUAUUUAAUUCCUUCCGUUUAUUCACCUUGAAUUCUAAUCUACAGGACGAGGAAAUAUUCUUAUACACGUCAUUUAUAUAAUUUCAGAUUUGUACUAAAAUGCACUUGUUAUGUUUAUAUUAAGAACAAAUCAACAAUAAAAUCAAGAUUUUGUUCUGCUUAAUAGGAAGCUAGUGGAUUCAGUCCACUAUGCAUCCCAGGUUACAAGCAUCUUUUCCUCAUGCACCUGCUGUUUCCAUGGUGAUUGUGAUUGGAUAGGUAGUGGGUAGUUAGCAGUGAGUCCAAUCAGGGUCUAUUGGAGGGGUGGGGUGCUGUACGACAGUUAGCCAACACUCGGAUGACACUUCAAUAAAUCAAAUGCCGGGCAAUCAGAAAAUGAUCUGGAACUAAUUGCUCUCGGUGAGGAAGAGACACGGAGAAUCAAUGAUGUCUAGCGAUAGAUGUGAAAACCCUUGUUAGACCCAAGUGAGGUAGCAUGAUACAUGAGUAUCGUUUUUUUAUAUACACACACAAACAAGUAAACAUAUACCCUGCUGUCUAAAAUUUUAGGAACACUUGACGUAAUUGUUCUUCAAGAUCUUAAACACCUUCUGAUCUGAAGGCAUGUGUCCGAAUGUUUAAAAUGAGUUUUGUGAUGAAAAUAUUAAUGAAGAGAAAUUAAAAUAAUUAGCCAAUAUGAGCUUCAGUAUUAAAACAAAACUCGAGAAACUGUACAUUUUCAAGAAGAGUACAUUUUUGCAAAUUCUAGACAAAGUCUAGCCUCUAGGAAGAUGCUAUAACAUAGAUUAUAAAUAAAAGAGCAUAGGAAAAAUAAUAAAUAGGCUUAUAUAAUAAUAAAGGGCUUAAGACAUUCUUGUUCUGCCAUCAUCCAAUCAGAUUUGUCUCACACAGGGAAAUGUUUUAGAUAUGUGAAUUGGAAAUAUCCAUUCAAAAUAUUCAAAAGCCUUUGAAAAAAAAAUUUAAUUUCCAUUUAAAGGUCCAAUGUGUGAAUUUUUUUGGGUGGAUCUAUUGACGGAAAUGCAAUAUAAUAUAAAUAACUUUUCAGAGAUGUAUAAAAACCUUACAUAAUGACGUGUAAUGUUUUUAUUACCUUAGAAUAAACUAUUUCUAUCUACAUCCUUCGUCGUGCUUCAAAAGGGAGGGAGGAGGGUUGGAGUAAACCGUUGGUUACAAUAUGCGACCUCACCCCUAGAUGCCGCUAAUUUUCAUACAACGUCACUUUACAUGUAUGUGUUUGGUACCCCUGAAUUACAAUAAAAUUAAUAUGAAACAUUUAUUAUUCAAAUGUUUAAUUUGUAUCCGUCAAAACUAAAUCUGUGCCCUUUGUAAUCAGAUAUAGACAAGCUAUACAGACAUAUAUACAUAUAGACAUAGCUCUGCAAGACUACACUAUUAUGUGUGUUGUUAGUUUGGAAAAAAAGAAAAAAGACAAUUCUGCUUCACUAUUUCAGCGCUUGUCAAUGUCAAGAAUGAUUGACAUCAUUGCAUCCGACAGCAAUAUGAACAACAGAAAGUAAUAUAUAAGGAUGCAAACAUUAUCAAAAUGAUAUGUGUUCUUGUCAAUCCAGUUUUGUCAAUAUUUUAUGUUUUCCCAAAUACAAUACAAGGUAUUUGUAUGCAAACACUUGGUUUCCUGGGAUUUGGGAAUUUCAUUUUGAUACAUUUAAACUGUGACAUUUUGUUUAUUUAUUUUAACUACAUUUUCAUGAAAUUAUGUCCAUCUUGUCUUACAUCAUUUUCCUGUCUCUACAAAGUGAUCAGUCGCAAUGCUAUUUCGACUCCCGUGAUUUAAAUAUGAUAAUGUGGUAAUGUGGUUUCUUCGACAACAGAGCAACAUCCACAGGGUCGAAUAGGAAUGCUAACGGAUAGCUGUCUUCACUUAAUAUAGAUCUCUCCUCGCCCAAACAGACCAGUGAGUCACGGUGGACUCCGAUGUCACUUUAUUGAGAACCUUCCAUGUCAACAAAUCUGAGAGAACUUGAUUGCCAGUGUGACUGAGAGAUGGCCCCGGGGUCCGUGCCAGCACUGUUUUUCAUUUAUCUAAAUAAACAGAGGAUGCGUCGUGCUUUCUACAUUUGCAUUCCUGCCUCUCUCCACUGUUCAUUAACAUCAAUGAGCAUAGCCGCGUACGAAGAAGAAAGUAGCGCAAGAACUCAGCCUCCAGCCAAAGGAAACCUUUAGACCGGGCCUGACUCGGAGGACUACUGUAGCCAAAACAGCGCGCGAAUACCUCCCACGUCCACAUGCUGUCUAGACUUUGAUGGAGCCGUUCAUCUCAGCAUGCGUUAAGCAUUUGCCCUCAAUCGUGAGUGGCCCUUUGGUUUUUAAUUUAGAGACGGAAAAUGAUAAAAACAAUGACAUGUAAAAUCAUAAGCGCAUUAGCUUAAUCAUAGUCUUAUGUCUGUUUUGAUUAAAUGAUAAAAGUAAAUCGUACAUUAACGAGAAACAGGAGAAUCAACAAGAAAGAAAAUGUGACUCUACUAUGAAAACCAUAAAAGAGGCAGACAAGAGAGAGCUGUGAUGUCAGCUAGAAGAGUCAAAAUCUUCUGACAAAUAGUUUUUUAUUAUUUUAUUUGGAAAUCUUAUCUAAAACAUACAUCUGUUCUGAAUUAUUUAGCAGUCAUUAUUCUUGUUUACUAAAGGCUCUUUACUCAGUAAUGUCUAUGAGAACGUUCUUUGCCUGAGUAAUUGCAUAUAUUUUGUUAUUUUUUGUUUUCCAAGGUCAGGUCAAUGGCUUCAUUUGUAAGGUAAUACAUCUCUUAAGGUCAGGAAGAGCGAUUGUUUGUAUUUACUAUAACAUGAAUAAGAUUGUACAACCUUUCUUUUUUAGUAGGCUGUCAGGUUGAGAAACGCAAUAUGUUCAGGCAAAAAUACUUUUCAAUUAGUUUGUGUCUGAUUUUCUCCAGGUAUUACAAUGACAAAUUUGCAGCUGUAAGCUUUAGGACAAACACAGGUUCAUAAAAACCUGAUCCCAAAGGUCAAUUCUGCCUUCUAGUGGCUGGUCUGAAAUACUACAACAGCUCAC